rnacentral:siRNA from 1 species
UCUCCACUGUGGUGAUCCUUGCGC